GAGCGGAAACGAUCCUAGCUUGCUAGGAGGCGUCGAGCGGCGGACGGGUGAGUAAUGCAUAGGAAUCUACCCAGUCGUGGGGGAUAACCUGAGGAAACUCAGGCUAAUACCGCAUACGUCCUACGGGAGAAAGCGGGGGCUCUUCGGACCUCGCGCGAUUGGAUGAGCCUAUGUCGGAUUAGCUUGUUGGUAAGGUAACGGCUUACCAAGGCGACGAUCCGUAGCUGGUCUGAGAGGAUGAUCAGCCACACCGGGACUGAGACACGGCCCGGACUCCUACGGGAGGCAGCAGUGGGGAAUAUUGGACAAUGGGCGAAAGCCUGAUCCAGCCAUGCCGCGUGUGUGAAGAAGGCUUUCGGGUUGUAAAGCACUUUCAGCGAGGAAGAAAGCGUGCCGGCCAAUACCCGGUACGGACGACAUCACUCGCAGAAGAAGCACCGGCUAACUCCGUGCCAGCAGCCGCGGUAAUACGGAGGGUGCAAGCGUUAAUCGGAAUUACUGGGCGUAAAGCGCGCGUAGGCGGCGUGUCACGCCGGGUGUGAAAGCCCCGGGCUCAACCUGGGAACGGCAUCCGGAACGGGCAGGCUAGAGUGCAGGAGAGGAAGGUAGAAUUCCCGGUGUAGCGGUGAAAUGCGUAGAGAUCGGGAGGAAUACCAGUGGCGAAGGCGGCCUUCUGGACUGACACUGACGCUGAGGUGCGAAAGCGUGGGUAGCAAACAGGAUUAGAUACCCUGGUAGUCCACGCCGUAAACGAUGUCGACUAGCCGUUGGGUCCCUUGAGGACUUAGUGGCGCAGUUAACGCGAUAAGUCGACCGCCUGGGGAGUACGGCCGCAAGGUUAAAACUCAAAUGAAUUGACGGGGGCCCGCACAAGCGGUGGAGCAUGUGGUUUAAUUCGAUGCAACGCGAAGAACCUUACCUACCCUUGACAUCCUGCGAACCCGGAAGAG
rnacentral:rRNA from 1 species